CAGUAGCCGCGGGAAUACGUAGGUCCCGAGCGUUGUCCGGAUUUAUUGGGCGUAAAGCGAGCGCAGGCGGUUAGAUAAGUCUGAAGUUAAAGGCUGUGGCUUAACCAUAGUACGCUUUGGAAACUGUUUAACUUGAGUGCAAGAGGGGAGAGUGGAAUUCCAUGUGUAGCGGUGAAAUGCGUAGAUAUAUGGAGGAACACCGGUGGCGAAAGCGGCUCUCUGGCUUGUAACUGACGCUGAGGCUCGAAAGCGUGGGGAGCAAACAGGAUUAGAUACCCCUGUAGUCCCUGUCUCUUAUACC
rnacentral:rRNA from 1 species